UGAAAAAUGAGGGGGAAUAGUGCAUCUAUUUAUAGGGAAAGCAAGUGGAAAAGUGGGGGGAACCGAAUACCCUUUGUGCAAAAAAAGGCUUAUUUUUUGUGUCUGCUUAGGGGAAAUCGAUUUACCUAAUUGGGUAAAAUCGAUUUCCCUAUUUUUUAUUUUAUUUUAUUUUUUAUUUUAAAUCAUGCCUUGAGCCCAUGCAAUAUGCCUUUGGUUAUGAAUGUUAAUAUAAUAUGGUGAUGGAGCAAUGGAUAAAUGUAUGUGUAAUAGGAUCAUAGAUCUGAUGAAAGUUGUUUUGGGGUAGGGUGAAUUUUGGGCUAUGACAAACUGAAC
rnacentral:lncRNA from 1 species